CCUGUUGGAUCUGGGUGAGGAGACAGAGCCUUCCAUGUAGCCCCACAGCUAGGGGACACAAGAGUGUGAGAUGCCCCUACUUACCCAGGCAGUCACUUGUAGCACGGCCAGACAGCAAGCCCUCUGCUGUUCCUUGGAUUCAAUUUGGAUUCAAUUUUGUGGUCAGAAGGAGAGACUCUUGAAAUUGUGAUGCCAAUUCAGUAGAGAAGAUACCUUGCAUGUUAAGGACCUAGGCAUUUAGGAUCGCUUCACCCAUAUUUCUGCCUACUGCCUCCAGUAAGGGUCAUCAUGAUUCACUACGGAAGUUGUCCAUACCUCGACCUUGAAGAUUUUCUGGACCCCCAUAAAUCACAGAACUCCCUGAUUUUACUGAUUCCGGUGGAUGACAUGGAAGAGGGUGUGGAUGAAGUUCUAGAAAUAUAUGAAGAAACGGAAGGUGAUAAUGAAGAGGAGGAGCUGGUGAUCGUGGAAGUGGUGGAAGAAGAGAUGGAAGAAAGGGAGGAGGAAAGGGAGGAGGAAAGGGAAGAGGAAGCAGAAACCGAUUUUACUGAGAAUGUGGAGUAGAACUGAGAAAUAAAAGGGAGGGAGGGAAAGGAGGAGAAAAAAGAAGAAAGGGAAAAGGAUGAAAGGAAGGAAGACAU